GUCUAGGGGGCUUCCGAGGCGAUUGGGCAGUGUCAGUCUUCAGCCGCUAAGCCGAGAAGAUCUGGGAAGGAGUCAGUCAGAGAGCCUUGGGCCAGAGUUCCAGGGGCUCUGGGAGUGGCUGCUAGGCAUGUGGAAAAUCAACCGGAACUUCAGCUGGUAGCUUAAUGAGAUAAUUUUGAGACCUGUUUCUCCUAGACUGUAAGAGGUAGAUGAAAUCCUCCACCACAUCAGAGGACACCUCUCAGAGUAUGGAAUAUGGUACAUCCUCCAGAAUCAGCUGGGAACAAUGACUGCCAAAAGUGUCCAGAGGAAGUCUGCAGGAGCUGGGUCUCUCCUAGGUGGAAUAUUCUUUGAAAUCAGAACGAAAGUAACUUGGGUCUGGCCUUGAUGAGGCUCCUGAAUUUUCCUGCUUGUGAUAACGGUGGCGUUCUGAAGACUGGCAAGUACCUUUCUUGUUUCUCUGCAGCUAUCCUGAAAAUGUGACUUGCGUGCAUUUGGGAGAAAGGUUUGCUGCCUGGGACAGUGCAACACAAGUUUAGAAGGCAGACUUGAAUCUGUCUGCACAUUUGGUCAGGUGCUGAUCUUCAUGCUACCAUUGCUCCAGCCAGUGGGUCAUGACUCUAGUGAAUGAAGAAUCCCAGACAAUGGAAGCUGCCCAUGGCUUGGAACCUGCUUCCAUGAAAGCCUGCGCCACCCUAGCCCAGUUCUGGCUGAGCUGUAUUAUUGGGUCAGCCUUCUAAGACCUUCCCUGCCUUAGUUCUUCCCUUUUAGGUCAGACUUAA
rnacentral:lncRNA from 1 species